rnacentral:rRNA from 1 species
UACGUAGGGGACGAGCGUUAUCCGGAAUUACUGGGCGUAAAGGGUGCGUAGGCGGUCUUCCAAGCCAGAAGUGAAAGGCUACGGCUCAACCGUAGUAAGCUUUUGGAACUGUAAGACUUGAGUGCAGGAGAGGAGAGUGGAAUUCCUAGUGUAGCGGUGAAAUGCGUAGAUAUUAGGAGGAACACCAGUAGCGAAGGCGGCUCUCUGGACUGUAACUGACGCUGAGGCACGAAAAGCGUGGGGAGCAAACAGGAUUAGAUACCCUGGUAGUCCCU